rnacentral:lncRNA from 1 species
AGAAAAUAAAUAGCAAAUUUGAGUCUUUUUCAAAAAAACAAAUAUCCUUUAUAUACUAAAGCACAAGUCACACAAGCAAUUAAAUUCUGAUACAUAGGAAAUGUUUUAAAAAAUUAUAAAAAAGAAAUGCAAAAAAAAAUUGCAAAACAGUUUGUCUAUUUAUCGUUUAACUGAUCUUUUUAUAAAAUUAAAAAAAAAUUCCUAAAAAUUCUCACACUAAACCCACGAUCUCACCAUUUUGGAAUCGUUAAUCUUUUCUCUCCUACACUUAACUUCAUCUCUAUUGCUUUCAGAAAAUUUUAAUUCUUAAAUUCUGUGUGCCAGCUUCUAACUCUCUCCAAAAUGUGAUGUGGAAAUAUAAACUUUUAUACAUGUAGAUGAUCAAAGACUUUUACUCGCG